UCCCCCCCUCCAUGCUCGUUCCCUCUUUUCGCCCCCAUCUCCAGUGGCGGCUCGGGGAAACCCUUGUUGGGGCGGCGCUUCAGGUCAGUAAUCUCAGCGGUCCCCUCUACAUUCUGUCUACUUUCCCGAGUUCUACAUCGGUUCCAUCUCAAUUGGGCCUUUCGCCGCGCUCUCCACGCUUCCAACCAGUUGAUUCUUGUAGGAGUUUGGUGGGAUGAUUGAUUCGGCUCGAAUCUAAAUUUAUUCCCCUUAUUGUUUGAUUUUAUGAGAUUUAUCGGGGGUUUUCGAGUCUGCCUCGCUUGGUGAGUUCUAGGGUUUCGUCCCGCUAGAUUUAUCCCCUUUCUCGAUUUCUAGGGUUUCUUUUGGUAAAAAACAAGAUUUGUAACAUGGCUGCCGGUCGAUAUGGUGGGUAUCGGGAUCACGAGUUCCGGGACCGUGAAGCGGAUGUAGAGAACUCUAGCAGGAGGGAUUAUUACCAGGGUCGUGUCCGUGAAGGGGGUCGCGAUAGGGACCGUGGCCGGAGUGAUCGGGACGUGCGUGAUAGGGUUAGUGCUAGCCAAAGAGACAUCACGGAAACGAAAUCGGUGAAUGGCUCCUACCGCUCCCCCAUGUCUAGCAAUUCGAGUGGUGGAAGCGGGCAUAUUCAGAAAAUGAGCCACCUCUCUGAGAGAGAUGUCGACCGUGAGACCGGGGAGUUGUCCAGUGGGAGCGGAUCAGAUGAUGCUGAAGCGCCUGUUUCAAAGAUCAGGGAGAAUGGGAUCCAGAAUCAGGAGAUUGAUGACGUUUCUAUGCCUGUUAGGAAAAGGAAAUUCUCUCCAAUCAUUUGGGAUAGGGAUGACAAUAAGAAAUCCAGUGUUUCUACUCCCAGGAGUAAGAUCAGCAAGGUUGAAGAUGUUACACUGCCUCCACCACCUCCAUUGCCUCAGGGUUUUGUACCACCACAGGUUGUUGAACCAUCUCUUGGGAAUGAGUUGCCUCUAGAUUCAAAUGUCUCUGUAGAUUUACAUCAGGAACAGUCAGAAAAUAACAAUCAGGAGGCCACGUUGGUAGAUGAGUAUUACGAGGAACCUGCACCGGCUCGGAGUAUUUCCUUCUCCAGAUGGGCUGAUGGAAACAGUGCUCUCGAUGAUGAAGAAGAUGAACUCAAGGAGGAUGAUGCACAGAAAAGGAAAAAGACUAAUCCUUUGUCCAACACUGCAGGGCAACAACUGUUGAAGAAGUCACCGACUCCUGAGCUAGGUGAGGUUAUUGUGAGACAAAAUUCCAGUGGGGCUUUGUCUAAGCUCUUUGAUUCAGAGGGAGAGCAUGCAGAUCGUGAUCAGGAGGUUGAGGUGGAUGGGAGUGAUUAUAUGGAUGUUGACAGGGAUGAGUCUAAUGCAGAGACAAGUGAUCAACUUUCUGAUACCGACUUUGAUGCUGAAGAUCAUAGGUCUAAGACACCUGAAGCAGCACAGACGCCCCAAAGGAGUAUAAACAUGCUGCAAGGUUGUAGGAGUGUUGAUGAGUUCGAGAGGCUGAAUAAAAUAGAUGAAGGCACCUAUGGUGUUGUGUACCGUGCAAAGGAUAAAAAGACAGGGGAGAUUGUAGCAUUGAAAAAGGUUAAAAUGGAGAAGGAGAGGGAGGGUUUUCCACUGACGUCACUUAGAGAGAUAAACAUUUUAUUGUCUUUUCAUCAUCCUUCAAUUGUCGAUGUUAAGGAAGUUGUAGUUGGUAGCAGCCUGGAUAGUAUAUUCAUGGCAAUGGAAUACAUGGAGCAUGAUCUAAAAGGGCUGAUGGAGACUAUGAAGCAGCCAUUUAGUCAGAGUGAGGUUAAAUGCUUGAUGUUGCAGCUGUUUUCAGGUGUCAAAUACCUUCAUGACAACUGGGUACUCCAUAGGGAUUUAAAGACAUCAAAUCUUCUUUUAAAUAAUCGUGGAGAGUUGAAGAUAUGUGAUUUUGGCUUGUCUCGUCAAUAUGGCAGCCCAUUGAAGCCUUACACUCACUUGGUGGUGACAUUGUGGUACAGGGCACCAGAGCUUCUGUUAGGAGCUAAGGAGUAUUCAACUGCAAUUGACAUGUGGUCCUUAGGAUGCAUAAUGGCUGAACUUUUAGCAAAAGAACCAUUAUUCAGUGGAAAGACUGAGUUUGAUCAACUUGACAAGAUAUUCAGGACACUCGGUACCCCGAACGAGAAGAUAUGGCCUGGAUUUGCUAAAUUACCUGGGGUUAAAGUUAAUUUUGUCAAGCAGCCGCCUCGAGCUAUGGAUGAUCUUGCUUAAGCUUUAUGGCUUGCUUUGGUGGCACUAGCAGUUAGGUGAUGCGUUUUUAAUGUUUUGUCAUUUAGCAAAUUGCUUCCUUUUUCUUGCAGGUAUAAUAAGCUACGGGAAAAGUUUCCUCCCACAUCAUUUUCUGGACGUCCAACCCUGUCUGAAGCCGGUUUUGACUUAUUAAACAAACUUCUUACAUAUGACCCUGAAAAGCGAAUAACAGCGGAAGCUGCACUUAAUCAUCACUGGUUCUGUGAGGUUCCAUUGCCAAAGUCGAAGGAAUUUAUGCCUACUUUUCCUGCUCAACAUGCUCAGGACAGGCGCCUACGAAGGAUAAUGAAGAGUCCUGAUCCACUUGCAGAGCAACGGAAGAAGGAAUUGCAACAAGGGGAACUAGGUCUUUCUAGUCUGUUUGGUUAGAGGACAGGUACAGAGCUUCGCUGUGGUCACGAUUGUGAGUGCUGCCUGGCACUUGUAGACAGAAAUUCAUAUUCACUAAUAUCUUAGGCACCACUGAUGGUGUGGAUGACAAUGAAGGAUAUUAUCUUCCCCUUCUCCACCAAAACACCAUGUACUUCAGGCAUUUUCUUUUUUUACUUCAGCAGCAGUUAAUCGUUUAAGGUGUGGGAUAUCAAAUUUUAUCUUGGCACUAUCAAUUUCCUCUCAGACUUGUAUAUGUAACAUAUUUCUUAAUGGUGAAAGACUGGAUUUAAUACCAAAUAUUAAUUGAUACGUUAAUACAUUAUUUUGAUCGUUCAUACUG